GUAGUCUCGCACAGAUGCAUAUCAAUAAGCGGAGGAAAAGAAACUAACAAGGAUUCCCCUAGUAACGGCGAGUGAAGCGGGAAGAGCUCAAAUUUGAAAUCUUAAAGGGUUUCCCUUUACGAAUUGUAGUUUAAAGAAGUGUUUUCUGUUGAGGUUUUGGUAAAAGUUCUUUGGAAUAGGACAUCAUAGAGGGUGAGAAUCCCGUAUUUGACCUUUACUUUCAACUUUGUGAUACACUUUCAAAGAGUCGGAUUGUUUGGGAAUGCAGUCCAAAAUGGGUGGUAAAUUUCAUCUAAAGCUAAAUAUUGGCGAGAGACCGAUAGCGAACAAGUACCGUGAGGGAAAGAUGAAAAGAACUUUGAAAAGAGAGUUAAACAGUACGUGAAAUUGUCAAAAGGGAAGCGUUUGACACCAGUGUUGUUUUUCUGAAAAUCAAUUAAAGAACUGUUUAUGCUAAGCUGUUUAGACUUUAUCAGCUAUCUGUUUAGUUUUGAGCUUUUCUUUAAUGCACUUUUCAGUUAACAAGUCAACAUCAAUUUCUUUUGCUGUAAAAAAGCUUGAGGAAGGUGGCUUGAGAUUCGUCUUAAGUGUUUAUAGCCUCUCGCCUAUGCAGUCGGAGAGAUUGAGGUCUGCAGCGUAGAUCCUUCGGGGCUAAAUGCAUUUGUGCUAAGUUAUAGCAUUUUAUAGACAACUUGUUGACUAUGAUUUGUCUUGUAGCUUACUCGCUUAUGUUAUUUUACCUACGCUUAGGAUGUUGAACUACUGAGACAUAGA
rnacentral:rRNA from 1 species